GGUUUGAGUGCAGAGCUGAGUGUGCUGCUGAGAUACACUGGUUUUGCUGGUUUCCUGCUUCUGUCUGCUCUUGCUGUACGUCUGAAAAUGGAAUUCCUGUCUCUUUCAGCCUGCUGAAUACAGAGCCAAUUACAAAAGGCUGGUGGGUGACUUGAGCCACUAGAGCAGGGUGGAAGUCUGCGAAGGUGUUUUGUACCCAGCAAGAUCUGCAGCAGAGCUGAGGGAGGGAAGCCCUUCACCUGAGCCCUAUCCCUGCUAUCGAGGCACAUCUUGACUCAGCUCCACAAGGCUCUGAAAUAGUCCAAAACAGGAGGACGGGCAUUCAGUCAAAGCAAGGAUUGCAGGAAAUGUCAGAUGUGUGAGCUGUUACCUCGUAGGGCUGAAACCCUUGGAAGGUCCUUGGCUGGAGAAAGGGAGUAGCUAUUGGAAGGUGACAUGGAUGCCUUCUUGGAGUUGCUCCCAAGUGGCCUUUAUCUGGGACAGAAAGAGGAAUAAUAACUGCAAGCAAAGAUACCACCCAAUUGGAUGGCCCUGUUGUGUGACAGCAACCUAUCGCUGAUUGAAGCAGGUGUGGAGGUUUUGGAGCCUGCAGAUGUGCAUCUUGCUGACUGCAGCUCACAGAAGGGGUAUGAAGUUCUGGGAACCCCAUCCUCAUGAUGCAAGCCAAGCUCUGUUGCUCAGAAGAGACACAGGUGCUGCAUCAAACUGACACAGCCCUGAUUGGACAGCCAUUUCCAGAUUAGCAAGAUGUGAUAUGAAGAUACCAGUGACACGGAGAAGUUGUGCUGUUGGCAGAGUGAGGUGGCAGGAGGAGAACCAUGGGCUAGGACAGGGAAUGGGCUUGGAGCACUCAGCCCUGCAUCUACUAUGUCUGCCCACACUUUCAGCUGCAGCACCCUGCCUGUCCCAGGUAUCACCAGAGCCCAUCAUGCUGUUAUGUGAUGAGUAUGUCUGGCUGGAGGAAAUGGAAUUCCUUGGGAAUGCUACUGAAAGCUUCCAUCAAGCACUGACGUUGCUAUCAGCUGAACUUGGGUAGGAUCAUGAACAUCAUGUGGAAGUGAAUUUUCCCAGCAUCCUAACCAGGGUCUGAGUUAAUCUGUCCGUGCUCCUCUCCAACAGCAAGAACACUUAGACAGUCAGUCCACUGCCAAGGGAGAUCUGGGGAUCACUGUCGUCAGCUUCGAU